UACGUAGGGGGCAAGCGUUGUCCGGAUUUAUUGGGCGUAAAGAGCGUGUAGGCGGCCAGACAGGUCCGUUGUGAAAACUCGAGGCUCAACCUCGAGAUGUCGAUGGAAACCGUCUGGCUAGAGUCCGGAAGAGGAGUGUGGAAUUCCUGGUGUAGCGGUGAAAUGCGCAGAUAUCAGGAAGAACACCUAUGGCGAAGGCAGCACUCUGGGACGGUACU
rnacentral:rRNA from 1 species